rnacentral:rRNA from 1 species
UACGUAGGGGGCGGGCGUUGUCCGGAAUCAUUGGGCGUAAAGCGCGUGUAGGCGGCCCGGUAAGUCCGCUGUGAAAGUCCAGGGCUCAACCCUGGGAUGCCGGUGGAUACUGUCGGGCUCGAGUCCGGAAGAGGCGAGUGGAAUUCCUGGUGUAGCGGUGAAAUGCGCAGAUAUCAGGAGGAACACCAAUGGCGAAGGCAGCUCGCUGGGACGUGACUGACGCUGAGACGCGAAAGCGUGGGGAGCAAACAGG